rnacentral:sRNA from 1 species
AUGUGCUUCAGACUCUGCCUGUGGACAUUUAGUCGCUUCUGUGUGGGCUGGGGCGACGCCCCUGUUCCUCUGCAAGGAGCUGUUUCUUCUUCCCGGUCUGAGAUUCUGGAGUGGAGGAGUGUCUGCUGGACGAGAACAACAUGCUGAUCCCCAUCGCUGUGGGUGGUGCCCUGGCGGGGCUGGUCCUCAUCGUCCUCAUCGCCUACCUCGUCGGCAGGAAGAGGAGUCAUGCCGGCUACCAGACGAUCUAGCCUGGUGCGCGCAGGCACAGCAGCUGCAGGGGCCUCUGUUCCUUUCCCUGGGCUUAGGGUCCUGUCGAGGGGGAGGCACACUUUCUGGCAAACAUUUCUCAAAUCUGCUUCAUCCAAUGUGAAGUUCAUCUUGCAGCAUUUACUAUGCACAACAGAGUAACUAUUGAAAUGAC